rnacentral:rRNA from 1 species
UUAAGCGACUAAGCGUACACGGUGGAUGCCCUGGCAGUCAGAGGCGAUGAAGGACGUGCUAAUCUGCGAAAAGCGUCGGUAAGGUGAUAUGAACCGUUAUAACCGGCGAUGUCCGAAUGGGGAAACCCAGUGUGAUUCGUCACACUAUCGUUAACUGAAUACAUAGGUUAACGAGGCGAACCGGGGGAACUGAAACAUCUAAGUACCCCGAGGAAAAGAAAUCAACCGAGAUUCCCCCAGUAGCGGCGAGCGAACGGGGAGCAGCCCAGAGUCUGAAUCAGCUUGUGUGUUAGUGGAACGGUCUGGAAAGUCCGACGGUACAGGGUGAUAGUCCCGUACACCAAAAUGCACAGGUUGUGAACUCGAAGAGUAGGGCGGGACACGUGGUAUCCUGUCUGAAUAUGGGGGGACCAUCCUCCAAGGCUAAAUACUCCUGACUGACCGAUAGUGAACCAGUACCGUGAGGGAAAGGCGAAAAGAACCCCGGCGAGGGGAGUGAAAAAGAACCUGAAACCGUGUACGUACAAGCAGUGGGAGCACCUUCGGGUGUGACUGCGUACCUUUUGUAUAAUGGGUCAGCGACUUAUAUUCUGUAGCAAGGUUAACCGUAUAGGGGAGCCGCAGGGAAACCGAGUCUUAACUGGGCGUUAAGUUGCAGGGUAUAGACCCGAAACCCGGUGAUCUAGCCAUGGGCAGGUUGAAGGUUGGGUAACACUAACUGGAGGACCGAACCGACUAAUGUUGAAAAAUUAGCGGAUGACUUGUGGCUGGGGGUGAAAGGCCAAUCAAACCGGGAGAUAGCUGGUUCUCCCCGAAAGCUAUUUAGGUAGCGCCUCGUGAAUUCAUCUUCGGGGGUAGAGCACUGUUUCGGCUAGGGGGUCAUCCCGACUUACCAACCCGAUGCAAACUACGAAUACCGAAGAAUGUUAUCACGGGAGACACACGGCGGGUGCUAACGUCCGUCGUGAAGAGGGAAACAACCCAGACCGCCAGCUAAGGUCCCAAAGUCAUGGUUAAGUGGGAAACGAUGUGGGAAGGCACAGACAGCCAGGAUGUUGGCUUAGAAGCAGCCAUCAUUUAAAGAAAGCGUAAUAGCUCACUGGUCGAGUCGGCCUGCGCGGAAGAUGUAACGGGGCUAAACCAUGCACCGAAGCUGCGGCAGCGACACUAUGUGUUGUUGGGUAGGGGAGCGUUCUGUAAGCCUGCGAAGGUGACCUGUGAGGGUUGCUGGAGGUAUCAGAAGUGCGAAUGCUGACAUAAGUAACGAUAAAGCGGGUGAAAAGCCCGCUCGCCGGAAGACCAAGGGUUCCUGUCCAACGUUAAUCGGGGCAGGGUGAGUCGACCCCUAAGGCGAGGCCGAAAGGCGUAGUCGAUGGGAAACAGGUUAAUAUUCCUGUACUUGGUGUUACUGCGAAGGGGGGACGGAGAAGGCUAUGUUAGCCGGGCGACGGUUGUCCCGGUUUAAGCAUGUAGGCUGAUUAUCCAGGCAAAUCCGGAUAAUCAAGGCUGAGGUGUGAUGACGAGGCACUACGGUGCUGAAGUAACAAAUGCCCUGCUUCCAGGAAAAGCCUCUAAGCAUCAGGUAACAUCAAAUCGUACCCCAAACCGACACAGGUGGUCAGGUAGAGAAUACCAAGGCGCUUGAGAGAACUCGGGUGAAGGAACUAGGCAAAAUGGUGCCGUAACUUCGGGAGAAGGCACGCUGGUGUGUAGGUGAAGUCCCUGCGGAUGGAGCUGAGACCAGUCGAAGAUACCAGCUGGCUGCAACUGUUUAUUAAAAACACAGCACUGUGCAAACACGAAAGUGGACGUAUACGGUGUGACGCCUGCCCGGUGCCGGAAGGUUAAUUGAUGGGGUUAUCCGUAAGGAGAAGCUCUUGAUCGAAGCCCCGGUAAACGGCGGCCGUAACUAUAACGGUCCUAAGGUAGCGAAAUUCCUUGUCGGGUAAGUUCCGACCUGCACGAAUGGCGUAAUGAUGGCCAGGCUGUCUCCACCCGAGACUCAGUGAAAUUGAACUCGCUGUGAAGAUGCAGUGUACCCGCGGCAAGACGGAAAGACCCCGUGAACCUUUACUAUAGCUUGACACUGAACAUUGAGCCUUGAUGUGUAGGAUAGGUGGGAGGCUUUGAAGCGUGGACGCCAGUCUGCGUGGAGCCAACCUUGAAAUACCACCCUUUAAUGUUUGAUGUUCUAACGUUGGCCCCUGACCGGGGUUGCGGACAGUGUCUGGUGGGUAGUUUGACUGGGGCGGUCUCCUCCCAAAGCGUAACGGAGGAGCACGAAGGUUAGCUAAUCCUGGUCGGACAUCAGGAGGUUAGUGCAAUGGCAUAAGCUAGCUUGACUGCGAGCGUGACGGCGCGAGCAGGUGCGAAAGCAGGUCAUAGUGAUCCGGUGGUUCUGAAUGGAAGGGCCAUCGCUCAACGGAUAAAAGGUACUCCGGGGAUAACAGGCUGAUACCGCCCAAGAGUUCAUAUCGACGGCGGUGUUUGGCACCUCGAUGUCGGCUCAUCACAUCCUGGGGCUGAAGUAGGUCCCAAGGGUAUGGCUGUUCGCCAUUUAAAGUGGUACGCGAGCUGGGUUUAGAACGUCGUGAGACAGUUCGGUCCCUAUCUGCCGUGGGCGCUGGAGAAUUGAGGGGGGCUGCUCCUAGUACGAGAGGACCGGAGUGGACGCAUCACUGGUGUUCGGGUUGUCAUGCCAAUGGCACUGCCCGGUAGCUAAAUGCGGAAGAGAUAAGUGCUGAAAGCAUCUAAGCACGAAACUUGCCCCGAGAUGAGUUCUCCCUGAGACUUUAAGUCUCCUGAAGGAACGUUAAAGACGAUGACGUUGAUAGGCCGGGUGUGUAAGCGCAGCGAUGCGUUGAGCUAACCGGUACUAAUGAACCGUGAGGCUUAACCUU